rnacentral:rRNA from 1 species
GAUGAACGCUGGCGGCGUGCCUAAUACAUGCAAGUCGAGCGAACGGACGAGAAUCUUGCUUCUCUGAUGUUAGCGGCGGACGGGUGAUUAACACGUGGAUAACCUACCUAUAAGACUGGGAUAACUUCGGGAAACCGGAGCUAAUACCGGAUAAUAUUUUGAACCGCAUGGUUCAACAGUGAAAGACGGUCUUGCUGUCACUUAUAGAUGGAUCCGCGCUGCAUUAGCUAGUUGGUAAGGUAACGGCUUACCAAGGCAACGAUGCAUAGCCGACCUGAGAGGGUGAUCGGCCACACUGGAACUGAGACACGGUCCAGACUCCUACGGGAGGCAGCAGUAGGGAAUCUUCCGCAAUGGGCGAAAGCCUGACGGAGCAACGCCGCGUGAGUGAUGAAGGUCUUCGGAUCGUAAAACUCUGUUAUUAGGGAAGAACAUAUGUGUAAGUAACUGUGCACAUCUUGACGGUACCUAAUCAGAAAGCCACGGCUAACUACGUG